rnacentral:misc_RNA from 1 species
GGAAGGAUCAUUAACGCUAAUCCAAAAACCUAAACCAAUCCUUAAGUUGCAGCAUUGGUGCAAGCUAGCGAAAGCAGGCAUGUCCAUUGCAGCAUCUAAUAAAACUAAUCUAAAGGAGUUUAACUAAGCUCUUUAUUAAAAACCAAAUUCUCAACGGUGGAUAUCUUGGUUUCCGUAACGAUGAAGAACGCAGCGAAGUGCGAUAAGCAGUGCGAAUUGCAGAACCGUGAGUCAUCAGAUUUUUGAACGCAACUGGCGCCAGUUGGCAAUCCAGCUGGCAUGCUUGUUUCAGUGUCUUGUUUUCUCCUAACCCAAAUCUUAAUGUGAGAGAUACCCUUCUCUUGCUAAGUACGAAAGCACUCUGUACUCUGCAGGCAUCCUUGAUUCGUCAAGGGUUGCACUCAAUGCAGCAGUCACAUUUUAUAUGUGAACUCAUUGAGAGUCGAGACAGUGCAGUUUAUCUGCUAGUGCUUAGAUCACUUAACUUUACUUGCAUCUGAAAUCAAGCAGGACCACCCCCUGAACUUAAGCAUAUCACUAAGGGGAGGAAAAGAAAAUAACUAUGAUUGCCUCAGUAACGGCGAGUGAAGCGGCAAAAGCCCAAACUGGUAAUCUUCACCCUGCGGGUGACGAAUUGUAAUCUACAGGUGGAAUACUCAAUGUGCAGAGACGCAGAAGUUCCCUAGAAUGGGACGCCAUAGAGGGUGACAGCCCCGUACUUGGUGUCUCUGCUAAACGAGUAUCCUUCGAAGAGUCGGGUUGUUUUGUAUUGCAGCCCUAAGUGGGAGAUAAACUUCUUCUAAGGCUAAAUAUHUAUGGGAAACCGAUAGCGAACAAGUACUGUGAAGGAAAGAUGAAAAGAACUUUGAAAAGAGAGUCAAAAGACUUGAAAUCGUUGAGAAGGAA